GGACCCGCACAAGCGGUGGAGUAUGUGGUUUAAUUCGAUGCAACACGAAGAACCUUACCAGGGUUUGAAAUCAUUUCAAAACUCCUUGAAAGAGGAGCCUCCUUCGGGAUGAAAUGACAGGUGGUGCAUGGCUGUCGUCAGCUCGUGUUGUGAAAUGUCGAGUUAAGUCUCGUAACGAGCGCAACCCAUGUCUCUUGUUGCUCACUGAGUGCUUAAGAGAGACUGCCGACCAACAUCGGAGGAAGGUGUGGAUGAUGUCAAGUCAGCAUGCCCCUUACAUCCUGGGCUACACACGUACUACAAUGGUAGGGACAAUGAGCUGCGAUCCUGCGAAGGCUAGCCAAUCUCAAAAACCCUAUCUCAGUUCGGAUUGUACUCUGCAACUCGAGUACAUGAAGGUGGAAUCGCUAG
rnacentral:rRNA from 1 species